CUCAUUCACUCCCCCUCUCCCUUGGAGAAUUGUGAAAAAGGUAGAACAUACUUCAAUGAGUUUCUUUGAUACAACUCCCACUGGCAGACUAAUGAAGCUUUUUUUCUAAUAAUAUGGAUGAACUGGAUGUAAGCCUUCCAUUUCAUGCUGGGAAUUUUUUGCAGCAGUUUCAAUUCUUUAUUCUUGCCAAAAUAGCCCUUGUUUUUCCUUUUCUGCUAAUUGCAGUUGCUAUCACAGCUAUUAUUUCUGGGUUUUUCUUUUUAAGUUGACAUACUAUUCUUUCAAGAUAUUUUAAGCGAUUUGAAAUACCCUUUUUUUUGACCUACAGAGAUUCAUAGUGUAUGUUUUUGUAUUUUAUUCUUAAACUCCAAUUUUGCAGAUUCUUUUAUAAAGGCUUAUCAGAAGCUGAGAACUGUAGAACGAAGUAUCUUAAAUAGCAAGCACAUCCAGCAUGGCAAGCUGCCAAUUAUUAUGUGGUUUUUGUAUAAAGUGCUGCGUUCAGGCUUUGGUAAAACCAUUUUUUGCUGAAUGUAGCCAAGUCUCUUUAUCUGUGCAGAGUGUGAUUACAGACGUACAUGUCAACCACUACUGUUCACCCAGAGUCCUACAGCUAGCAAAGAUCCAGAAAUAGGCCAGGUUAGCAGGAAUGGCAAAUUGAAGUGACUGGAAAUUCGCUGCUGUAGCACUUAACAGAGAGUAUCCAGCAAUGCAAGAAUUUAGAAAAUUCAAAGAUACUUUCUCACAUUCAACCAGCUCCCCAGAGAACCCAGGGUUUUUUUGAAGGGCAUAUGCUUGAUUAGAUGUGUAGCUAUUCUUCAAGCUUCUUUCCCCUUCUGCCAGUACCAAUUAAAGCACUUUCCUUGUUUUUCAUGUAUGUUUUGUCAUACUUCAAUAUUAAUAAUGCAUCACUAAUGAAAGGACACAAAAUAAUCUUAAGAGAGAUUUUGCAAUUUUGCAAAAGAGGGCCUUGCGUUAUUUUGUUACUAAUGCAUCAUGAGUACCGAAACUUGACAGGAGAUUCUGAACACAAAAAAUGUAUUAGUAAUAUUUUUCUAUGCCAAAACCUUCAGGGAGGACCUGAGGAGAAAGUAGGUACAGAAAUAGCAAGUGUGGCCAGAGUUUUCAACUGACUUGAGAUAACCUAAAGGCAACCAUUUCAAAUACUGGUAGCUACUCCCUCAAACAGGCUUUUAAAGAUGUCCUAAGCUAGACUCCUAAAACAGGUGUUUGUUGAAAGUGGAAGUCAGAAGGCUGUCCAAAAUUUCUACUACUAUGCCAAACCUAGAUAAAAUUGUUGUUGCUCUGCUCAGGAAAUAUAGGGACUACUUUCUUGUAGCCUUCAAAGGAUUAAAUCUUUUUAAAGUAAGAGAGAUAAGCCCAUAGACUCAGUUUGCUCUAAACUGAAAGCAGAACUCAGCUGAUAAGAAAAAGUAAAGCGGAGGCUGGAAGAAUAUAUAGAGUUCUGCGUUCUUGGGACAUUCAGGCACAAUUUUACAGCACAAAUCAUCCGAGAACUGUCACUGUACACAGAUUGCAAAGUUUCAGUUCAAAUCACCUGCAUGAUGCAGUACCUUUACUAAAUUAUCAGUUGAGGUUCACACACAGGAGUUUUAAUGACACAUGGAAUUAGUACCUUGUGUUUCCACUGUGUUGCAGGUUUUCUUCUGAGAACUAUGCAAGAACUAGCAAGAACAAAAAUCAGCAGAUCACCACUGCUGUCUCAUAUAGCCUCCUCUGUGCAAGGUCUCAGUGUAAUUCACACUCAUGACAAAAAAGAGAACUAUCAACCAGUAAGACAGACAACUGAACUUUCUUUGUUUCAUUUUUGCUCUUAUUUAGAUAGGUGCCUUUAAAUUCAGCUGUGGAUGCUGUAGGCUGUUAUCUCCACUGACUUUGAUGAAACCUUGAUUGAGUGAUAAAAGAAUUUUUCCAUCAAAGAUACCAUGCCACAAACAGCAAAGAUCCUGGAGCUUUUUAUAUUUAGAAAACGAGCAACCACAGGAAUGCUGCUGGUUUCACUACAGACCCUCAAAAGAAUUCAACAAACAUCAUUAAAUCAAAUCUCACUGUGCCAGUUCUUAAACAUAGUACAUACUUUUACCUUUGAAUUUUAAGCAAUCUCUAGAACCCUUUUAAAAAGAUAAGGUUCAGUGACUCUCAUUAGUGAGUUCUUAAAGCAACAGGUAUUGCUGUGUGUAUCCUCAGGGAAGCUAUCUAAAAAAGCAUAGUAAGAAGGUUUGCCCAGAACCCAGCAUAACGGAGUAGAGAAAGUACUGUAGUUUAAACUGGUAACCAGAGAUCAUUAGGCUAAUUAAAACAUGCUGACCUAACAGGAUUCUAAACAGUGAGAUAUCAAUACAGCCAAGGUAUGCUGUGCAGAUCAGAGGUGCUCUCAUUAUCUGACAGAUAUGUUACACAGGGUAGUUUCACAUCCAUGCAGAAAUUUGAUUCUCAGAAAUAAGAAAAAGACCCUAAACUGCAUUAUUAUAUUCAGUUGUAGUCUUUUAUACUUGUAAAAAUCUCAAAUUUGUACACUAUUUGCCCCUUCAAGAACUGUGGAUCCUAUCCAAAUACAGUGAAGAUAUCACAUGCACUUCUGUCUGUGUAAGUGAAAUUUAUAGAGGCCUGUAACAAUUUCAGCAAGACAGGAUCAUUCUUAUGAAACUUACCCUCUCCAGAGGUCCCUGGCUAACCUCUUGUUGAAUCUGUAUACAGAGACAGAAAUAAGUUACAUAAUUAUCUUUCCUACAUUUGAACAAACUUCAGCUUUGAUUUCCAUGCUUGCACAGAAUUUAUCUUUCAAUGUGUGUACUGAAGUUUACCCACCUGUCUGCCAGACUUAGCAAACAACAGGUUUAUUACCACAUUAAAUAUUGGUCUUCCACAUGUGCAUUUGCAUUCGGUAAAAAGAGAAAAGAUCAAGUAUGCCCAAGAAGAAUGCCUCCCAAACUGGUUUGGUUUAGCUGGAAACAAAGAGUGUCCUUCAGAAAAUUCCCCAAGCAGCACAUACUAAUGCAAAUAUCUUCAUCAUAAGGGAGCACAGUAGUAAGAACACCUGACCUGCCAGAUUCUGUUCAGAACUUAGUACUUCCCUUACAAAAAUGUGGCAAUCUAAGCUAAUUCUUCGUAAGUUCGUAACCAACAUGCCUGCUCAGUAAACGGUGCUUGCACAGUAUUUUGAGUGAAAAUGUUCAUGAAGCUUAUGUUUAAAAAUCAGCACUUGAACAUUUGACAUGAAACUUCUACUCAGGUUAAAAACCAUUUUAUGUAAAACUGAAUGUACAUUUUUGUUUUCAUUUCAGGUUUAAAAAGUUAGCUAAUGAAAAUGCCAAACACAUGCUGUUAUUCAACCAUGCAUUAUUCUGGUUUGCAGUUAAAACAGAUAACCUGGUGAGCUUUAUGACUUUGAUUGUGGCAUUAUUUGUUGUUUUUGCUUGGAGCUCUCCUUCUUUAAGUGCUGCAUCAAAAUAUUUGACAUUACCUUAUAUCAUCCAGGUAAAACAAAUUAUUCACAGGUUAACCUUGCUGUUAAAUUAUGUUGUCACAUGUAAUUUCUUAUUCUAACCACUGUUUAUACCACGCAGUUCAAGACUUUAGUUCUCUUGGGCCACAUUCUAUCCUACUUAUAUUCAGACAGCAUUUUGCAGGCAUGCCAAGGUACAGCAACAAAAAGGAGGGGUAUAGAAGUCUGUACUUUGCAGAGAGCUCUUGUACAACACAAAGUUAUACAUGUAGCUAAUGUAUAUGCCAUUGUUACUGAAUAUAUAUUUCAUUUCACAUUAAUGCCCUUCUAUAGCUUAUUAAACUCACUUGUAAUAUCUUCCCAAAAUGAGCCUGGAAGAAUUUCACUAAGGAUAAUGCAAAGACUGUAUUUUCUUUUUGUAUCUGUAUCACAUUUAGUACAGUAUGCCGCAAAUCUGAUUACUUUGUGUACUGCUAAAAAAAAAAAAAAAGUAGCUGUUCUAAACAUGGAUGUUUAGUGCAUGUAAAUAUAACUGAUAUUUUUAGAAUGCAUAAGAAAAAUAUGAAUCUCAGUUUGCUUCACUGAAUAAAAGGAAUUAGAAUUCUUCCUUCAAAAUAAAUAAAGUGUGUUAGUUUUGUCUUCAUCAUCAUCAUUGUACAGUCUCAGGUUAGUGCUUCAAGUUGAGGUUUUUCCAGUUUUUGUUUUAGGGUUUGUUUUGGGAGUUGUUGUUGGUUUUUUUUUAAUAUUUUUUCUGUCUGCAAGUAUUUCAAAUCAUAAUAACAACCUGAUAUGCAAUAAGCAUUUUUUCUAUCUUGGCCUUUUUUCACCUGUCUUACUUCCAUAUAAAAUUAAUAAAAAUUCAAACACCUACUCAAAAUUAGCAUAGAGAAAUGAACACACUAUAGUAGCAUUACUACUUGAUUGUCAGUGUUGUUACAAUAUACAUAUAUUUACUUAAAAUUUCACAGUAAACUGUCUAUUGCCUUCAAUAACUAUGCAAUAUCUCCUUAAAAUGAGAAGAGAGGCCAGAAAAACACAGGGCUUCACAUCAAACUGUGAAAGAUACUUUCCUAGCUGCUGCAGCUUGGCAGUCUCCACAGGCAGUUCUAAUAGCUUAGAAAUUGCCUCUGGGUCUAUCACUGAAUUCUAUUGUUGAUGAGCUUUUGUAUUGCUUCAUUCUUAAACAGCCUUUUACUUUGAUUAGUUACUUCUUUUUCCUCAACAGAGCCAUUACAGACAAAAAAGAUCAAAAGAUGAUUUUCCAAUAAUUAUAUCAGUGGGUUUUUUUCUUGUUAAAUUAUGAGUUCUCCAGGUGUGUGUGUGAGAACAGGAACUGAGACAGAAUCAAAAUUUACUCCAGUUGAAGAUAUAAUGGAUUAUGUCUUGGCAAGACCUACAUGUAGAUGUAGCAGCAAGACCACAGUUCAUACAGAUACUUUAAAUUCUGUUAAAAAGUAAUAGUAUUAUUAAAGAUACUGUGCAUGCUUUAAAUAACAUUCAGUCUAGAAGCUUCAUCUUUAAUCACAUGCAAACCACAAAGAAUGUUGCCUAUUCAGCAAGUAACAAGAUUAUCCUAGCACAUUGGUGUUUGUUUGUCCACUCACAGCUGAAUGAUCAUCACAGGUUAAAUCAGGUUUUAUUAUCUUUGGUUAAUAAAAAAAGUUUAAGAACUUGUGCAUUUUCAUGGACAUUUAUAAACUCUAUGAGUAGUGAAACUGGCUAAUCCAACAUGUAAAUUGUCCUGUAACAGCAGAAUUAACUGGGUAGGGUCAAUUUUUACAUUGGUCCUCUAAUACAUCAAUGUUCCGUUCUUAAAAUUAGAAACCUUCUGAGUAGCUUUCAGCAAAAUUUCAAAGAAUGUCCUUAUUUUUAACCAUAUUUAAUAUUACUAGUGCACUUAUUAACAUGUUCAGAGAGCCCAAAAGGAAUAAGUAGCAUGAACAAAUCUCAUACACCUUUAAAUCAUACAUGCCUCUCACACAUUCCAAAUGAUCAAUGUGUCAUAAUGAUAGGAUGGCAAAGAGACAUAAAUGUUAACAUCUUGCAGUCAUGCCAAUUAUAGUCUAUUUGUAGGAAACAGAGCACAGAUACAGAGUCAGAGGUCUGCCAGCGUAGCUGCCCUCCAAGUAUGGCCUGUGUGUGCUAGAAAUAACUAUUUUUUAUAUAACAUAUUUUACAACAAUAUUUUACAUAUUUCCUGCAGACUAGUCUUCAGUAUGUGUAAGCAUUGCUUUGACUAGUAGAGCCAACUGCUGGUUGUGAACGUCUGUACAAUUACUUUGCAAGACCUAAGAACAAGAUCAUCUGUCAUUCCUCAAUACGCCAUUCUGUUCAUAGGUACAAUAAGGUAAUUGGUUUUGUGAUUAAACACUCAUAUUUUUUCCCAAAGGAAUACAAACAUUUGUAAUAUUAUAUUUUUAUCUUAUGCUAAAAUUUCCACUGCUAUUAAAGAAGCUUAAAACUC